AAGGAAGUCAAGGAAGCAUGCUUGUGAGAUGAAAAUUUUGAAUGCUAGUGCCCUUCUUGUGGAACCUCUGGAAAGUCGAAAAUUUUCAAGGUUUUCGUUGCAGUACGCAGAAACAGAGGACAAACCUUUUGACGAUGCAAACUGGGAACCUAGAUUUUCUGGGCAUCAAAGUAUGGAAGAACGGGAAGAAUCUUUUCUUGCACGCAAUCAAAAAAUAAACUGUGGUUUUGUUCGAGGCCCUGAAGAAACUCCAAGUACCGGAUUUGACUUGGCAGAAGAUGACGCAAAAUACAUUAGCAGUUGUCACAUUGCUGUAGCUUCAUGCAUCUUCGGAAAUUCGGAUCGCUUGAGAAUACCAGUGGGCAAAAUGGUCUCCCGUAUAUCAAAGAAAAAUGUUUGCUUCGUUAUGUUUGUGGAUGAAGUUACUCUAAAAACUCUUACAGCUGAAGGUAAGAUGCCAGACAGCAUGGGCUUUGUAGGUUUAUGGAAGAUCGUAGUUGUAAAGAAUCUUCCAUUUUCUGAUAUGCGGAGAGUGGGAAAGAUACCAAAGUUAUUGUCUCAUCGACUCUUUACUUCAGCCAGGUAUUCAAUAUGGUUAGAUAGCAAGCUUCGGCUGCAGCUUGAUCCCCUACUCAUAUUGGAGUACUUUCUGUGGCGUAAAGGUUAUGAAUAUGCAAUUUCCAAUCACUAUGACAGGCAUUGUGUGUGGGAAGAAGUAGCCCAAAACAAGAAACUUAACAAGUACAAUCAUACUGUCAUAGAUGAACAAUUUGCAUUUUACCAGGCUGAUGGAUUGCAAAGAUUUAAUGCAUCUGAUCCAAACAAGCUUCUUCACAGCAAUGUACCAGAAGGAUCUUUUAUUGUGAGGGCUCACACACCAAUGUCAAACUUGUUUUCUUGUUUAUGGUUCAAUGAGGUUGACCGGUUUACUCCCCGUGAUCAACUGAGUUUUGCAUAU
rnacentral:misc_RNA from 1 species